rnacentral:tRNA from 1 species
UAUUAGAUAGUUUAAAUAAAAUAAUAAAUUUGGAGUUUAUAGUUAGCGCAGUCUUCUGAUAA